UAGCGGCGAGCGAACAGGCAAGAGCUCAGAUUUGAAAGCCCUCGGGCAUUGUAUUCUGAAGCCUUGGUCCUGAGAAUCGGUGUUUAAGUCUUCUGGAAAGGAGCGCCAUGGAGGGUGAUAGCCCCGUACGACACCACUCUCACUGUAGGACUUUGGCAUGGAGUCGAGUUGUUUGGGAAUGCAGCUCAAAUGGGUGGUAUGCUCCAUCAAAGCUAAAUAUCUGCGAGAGACCGAUAGCGAACAAGUACUGUGAAGGAAAGAUGAAAAGAACUUUGAAAAGAGAGUGAAAAAGUACGUGAAAUUGUUGAAAUGGAAGGAUAGGCCGCUAACCAUGUAGGGUCGUGUUUGAGGGGAAGAUAAAAGCUGAAGAAUGUAGCUCCUCGGAGUGUUAUAGCUUCAGUCCAUA
rnacentral:rRNA from 1 species